AAUGAACGCUGGCGGCAGGCCUAACACAUGCAAGUCGAGCGAGCGGCGGACGGGUGAGUAAUGUAUGGGGAUCUGCCCGUUAGCGGGGGAUAACUCCUGGAAACGGUAUCUAAUCCCGCACACUAUCUGAUGACCCCAGAUGGGGUUAGCUAGUAGGUGGGGUAAUGGCUCACCUAGGCGACGAACCCUAGCUGGUCUGGGAGGAUGAUCAGCCACACUGGGACGGAGACACGGCCCAGACUCCUACGGGAGGCAGCAGUGGGGAAUAUUGCACAAUGGGCGCAAGCCUGAUGCAGCCAUGCCGCGUGUAUGAAGAAGGCCUUCGGGUUGUAAAGUACUUUCAGCGGGGAGGCGUUACCCGCAGAAGAAGCACCGGCUAACUCCGUGCCAGCAGCCGCGGUAAUAC
rnacentral:rRNA from 1 species